rnacentral:rRNA from 1 species
UGGGGAAUCUUGGACAAUGGGCGCAAGCCUGAUCCAGCCAUGCCGCGUGAGUGAUGAAGGCCCUAGGGUUGUAAAGCUCUUUCAACGGUGAAGAUAAUGACGGUAACCGUAGAAGAAGCCCCGGCUAACUUCGUGCCAGCAGCCGCGGUAAUACGAAGGGGGCUAGCGUUGUUCGGAUUUACUGGGCGUAAAGCGCACGUAGGCGGAUCGUUAAGUGAGGGGUGAAAUCCCAGGGCUCAACCCCGGAACUGCCUCCAAAACUAUUGGUCUAGAGUUCGAGAGAGGUGAGUGGAAUUCCAAGUGUAGAGGUGAAAUUCGUAGAUAUUUGGAGGAACACCAGUGGCGAAGGCGGCUCACUGGCUCGAUACUGACGCUGAGGUGCGAAAGUGUGGGGAGCAAACAGGAUUAGAUACCCUGGUAGUCCACGCUGUAAACGAUGGGUACUCGGUGGUGCGGGUGUCGACCCUGCGCUGCCUUAGCUAACGCGUUAAGUACCCCGCCU